UGGGGAAUAUUGGACAAUGGGGGCAACCCUGAUCCAGCAAUGCCGCGUGUGUGAAGAAGGUCUUCGGAUUGUAAAGCACUUUCGACGGGGACGAUGAUGACGGUACCCGUAGAAGAAGCCCCGGCUAACUUCGUGCCAGCAGCCGCGGUAAUACGAAGGGGGCUAGCGUUGCUCGGAAUGACUGGGCGUAAAGGGCGUGUAGGCGGUUUACACAGUCAGAUGUGAAAUCCCCGGGCUUAACCUGGGAGCUGCAUUUGAUACGUGUAGACUAGAGUGUGAGAGAGGGUUGUGGAAUUCCCAGUGUAGAGGUGAAAUUCGUAGAUAUUGGGAAGAACACCGGUGGCGAAGGCGGCAACCUGGCUCAUGACUGACGCUGAGGCGCGAAAAGCGUGGGGAGCAAACAGGAUUAGAUACCCUGGUAGUCCACGCUGUAAACGAUGUGUGCUAGAUGUUGGGUACUUUG
rnacentral:rRNA from 1 species